rnacentral:rRNA from 1 species
UACGUAGGGUGCGAGCGUUGUCCGGAAUCAUUGGGCGUAAAGCGCGUGUAGGCGGUCCGGUAAGUCCGCUGUGAAAGUCGGGGGCUCAACCCUCGGAUGCCGGUGGAUACUGUCGGGCUUGAGUACGGAAGAGGCGAGUGGAAUUCCUGGUGUAGCGGUGAAAUGCGCAGAUAUCAGGAAGAACACCCGUGGCGAAGGCGGCUCUCUGGGACGGUACUGACGCUGAGACGCGAAAGCGUGGGGAGCGAACAGG